rnacentral:misc_RNA from 1 species
GGAUGCUAGCCCCUGUUUCCCCAUUUAGGGGAGGAGUAUCAUCACCUCCUUCCUCCCUCUAUCAUCAUGUCCUUCUUCUCCCUCCUCUCCUCCCUUGGUAAAAUUGGUCCAACCAGGCACAAUUUCUUUUAUCCACUCGAAGUCAACACCCAGUUGACGCUUAGACAACUUGGAGACAAUGGUCGUAUGCAAGGCCAUAUACAAGUCAACCAGCCUUUCGUUUGAGGACUUGAUCUUCACUUCUAGAUCUUCAACCCGAGUGUUAAACCACCCAAUUUCUAUCUGGUGGUGGCUUUUAAAGAUAGACAACUCCUCAGAAAGUAUAGACACCCAUCGGUUGGAUGCCUCUAGGUUAGACUGAAGCUGUUUGAUUUGAUCAUCUCUCUCCUCCACUGUAAACUCUAGAGCACUGCAGUUAGUCUGAAGCUCCCAGUAGCUGUCACGAAGUCCCUAGAGACGUUCUUGCAUAAGAUGGUUAACUAUCACCGCCUCCAAGCUCAAACUCAUGGAUCAAAAAAUCAAAUCAUAAUCGCUCUCAGGCUCAAGCCGAGCUCAAUCCUUAGGAAGAGUCAACUUCCUUCUAAGCAGCUCUGCUAGUGGGAGAUUCUUGGCUAUUUGGGUUUGCUUCCUUAAAAUGGCAUCUAGCCCACUGGCACUUGGUGUUGUGGCGGUGUCAGUAGUAAGGGGAGGAGGAAGAGGCAGCACAACCUCAGCCACAAUGGGCACAGUAACCACAGCCACAGGAGGAGCGAAUGCCUUCUUGGUUUUCUUACUUUUCUUGGAAGCAGGCUCGGCACUCGUCCUGCCCUCUUUUGCUUUCCUUUUUGUAGCAAAAAUCACCUUUAAAGAAUCGUAUCCUCCUCCGGCUAUACCUAAAAAUAGAAAAAGAAAUUAGUAAGUCCAAUAAUAUUUAAGGAGUAAAUUUUUCGGGUUUACCUUCUUCUGGCAUUGUUGCAGUCUUCCCAACACUAGACCGAAACACCUCUCCUACCCUGGCCGCAUCCUCAUUCAUCCCAGCAGCAAUGGUAAAUUGAUUUGUGUAAUGACGAGCCAACAUAUUAACCCAAUACUCUUUAAACUUACAUGCCUUUUUGAGCUUUUUGAUGGUGGUAUAGUCAUUCUUGCUAAGAAUUGGUCUCCCCUCAUGCCUGGUGGAAUUUGGUGUCCAAUAUAGAGAAAAGUGCUCCUAGCACUGUCCUCCUCUAUGGUGAGCAUAAAGAACUGUCUCUUUUAUCACUUCAAAGAAAAAGGGAGCUUGGUAAAAAGUGAAAACCCUAACUUGGCAGUAAAGUAAUAGAAGUCAGCGUUCUCAUGGAAGAAGAAUUUGUGCAAAUUUUGAAAUGCCUUGAUAGUGGCAACUAGGUUCUUCUCUCAGUAGACCACGAGAAAAGCAACCAAUACUUGCCAGCUGUUAGGGAUAAAGCUGAGAAAGAGAAACAUUAUAGAAUUGAAGGACCUUCAUAAAGAAUGGAUCCAAAGGGAAGCUAACACCCUCCUUGAGUUGCUCCUCGUAGAUUGUGAUGGAGUUGUCCUAGGAGAUUAUGUCAUUCACCUUCAUAUGCUCUUUCAGCUUAUAGGUAAGCAUGUAGGAUGGUAGAUGAUGCUCUUCCAUGAUUUUUUAAAUCUUAUUCCUUGUCAACACACUAGAAAGCAUAACAACUCCGAAAGCCCCUUUGACAGACUUCCUUUCUUUCUGGCUAUAACGAGGGGCUACAUGUCCAGAACCGAAUAAACUCAGAAUUUUC